AGGGUUUGAUUAUGGCUCAGGAUGAACGCUGGCGGCGUGCUUAACACAUGCAAGUCGAGCGAAGCACUUUUGCGGAUUUCUUCGGAUUGAAGCAAUUGUGACUGAGCGGCGGACGGGUGAGUAACGCGUGGAUAACUUGCCUCACACAGGGGGAUAACAGUUAGAAAUGACUGCUAAUACCGCAUAAGCGCACGGUACCGCAUGGUACAGUGUGAAAAACUCCGGUGGUGUGAGAUGGAUCCGCGUCUGAUUAGGUAGUUGGUGAGGUAACGGCCCACCAAGCCGACGAUCAGUAGCCGACCUGAGAGGGUGACCGGCCACAUUGGGACUGAGACACGGCCCAA
rnacentral:rRNA from 1 species